AAGUCGUAACAAGGUUGUCCUUCUUGGCAGCAAAUCUCCUGCUGAAGCCUUGCACCACCCGCACGACUCUAAAUAAGAGAGGUUCCGAGUCCGCCUUCGAGGCGGGCGACGCCACAUCUGUGCCGGAAUUGUCCCCUACGGACAACACCAGCAGCCUCGCCUCCCGGCGCGGUUCACAGAUCACACAGUGGUGGCCCGUUCCAUCGGGUGAAGAUAUGACCGGUCCAGGCUCGCCCAGAGUCUGGCGUUUACGUUCCGUAGGUGAACCUGCGGAAGGAUCAUUACCGAGUUAGGGUCUUAGUUGGCCCGAUCUCCAACCCUGUGUCUAUAUUACCAUGUUGCUUUGGCGGGCCCGUCCCUCGUGGACCGUCGGGGCUCCUUUUGGGGUCCUGAUCCGCGCCUGCCAGUAGCCACCUUAAAAUUCUUCUUAAUUGUGUCGUCUGAGUUAGAAUAUUUAAAUAAACAAA
rnacentral:misc_RNA from 1 species